AUGUGUGUGGCUCAGUGGUUAAGAGCACUGACUGCUCUUCCAGAGGCCUGGGGUUCAACUCCCAGCAUCCACA
rnacentral:tRNA from 1 species